rnacentral:rRNA from 1 species
UACAGGGGGUGCAAACGUUGCUCGGAAUUAUUGGGCGUAAAGCGCACGUAGGCGGUCUGUUAUGUCGGAUGUGAAAGCCCUUGGCUCAACUGAGGAAGUGCAUCCGAAACUGGCAGGCUAGAGUACGUAAGAGGGUCGCGGGAAUUCCCGGUGUAGAGGUGAAAUUCGUAGAUAUCGGGAGGAACACCGGUGGCGAAGGCGGCGACCUGGGACGAUACUGACGCUGAGGUGCGAAAGCGUGGGGAGCAAACAGG